rnacentral:rRNA from 1 species
GAUGAACGCUGGCGGCGGGCCUAAUACAUGCAAGUCGAGCGAACAGACGAGGAGCUUGCUCCUCUGACGUUAGCGGCGGACGGGUGAGUAAAACGUGGAUAACCUACCUAGGAGACUGGGAUAACUUCGGGAAACCGGUGCUAAUACCGGAUAAUAUAUUGAACCGCAUGGUUCAAUAGUGAAAGACGGUUUUGCUGUCACUGAUAGAUGGAUCCGCGCCGCAUUAGCUAGUUGGUCAGGUAACGGCUUACCAAGGCAACGAUGCGUAGCCGACCUGAGAGGAUGAUCGGCCACACUGGAACUGAGACACGGUCCAGACUCCUACGGGAGGCAGCAGUAGGGAAUCUUCCGCAAUGGGCGAAAGCCUGACGGAGCAACGCCGCGUGAGUGAUGAAGGUCUUCGGAUCGUAAAACUCUGUUAUUAGGGAAGAACAAAUGUGUAAGUAACUCUGCACGUCUUGACGGUACCAACACAGAAAGCCACGGCUAACUACGUG